AUGUCCAUGUAAUCUUAUUCAUUAUUAUCUAGGAUCAGGACCCCCCAUGUCCAUGUAAUAAUAUUCAUUAUGAUCUAGGAUCAGACCCCCCCCCAUGUCCAUGUAAUCUUAUUCAUUAUAAUCUAGGAUCAGACCCCCUUUCUGAUCUGAAUGACGAAACUGAUCCUACAGUAGAUCAGCAGGUCUAAACUGGUCCUACAGUUGAUCAGCAGGUCUAAACUCAUCCUACAGUAGAUCAGCAGGUCUAAACUGGUCCUACAGCAGAUCAGCAGGUCUAAACUGAUCCUACAGUAGAUCAGCAGGUCUAAACUCAUCCUACAGUAGAUCAGCAGGUCUAAACUGGUCCUACAGCAGAUCAGCAGGUCUAAACUCAUCCUACAGUAGAUCAGCAGGUCUAAACUGAUCCUACAGUAGAUCAGCAGGUCGACUAUGAGGUGCUUUAUAAAUAGACGGGCCUAGAGUGUCUUUGUAAAUGAACCUUUAAGUGUUUCAUCGAUAUCAGACCUGUGAUGUUUUGUAUUCAGUUCGUGUUUCUGUCUCCUGCUGUGUUAGUCGUCAGUCUGGCAGGGCAGCUGUGUCGUUCUCCUGUUUUAGGUGAGUCGGUAGUACGAUACAAUACAACAGUGUUUGCAUAGUAACAACUUACUUUUCAUAAACUCCCCCCCCCAAACAAAAGCCAAUUCCUCCGGAGAAGGAAAGCAGCAUAUUAGGAUCACAUUGAGUUAGGAUUUUUGUUUGUUUGUUGUUAACAUUAAGUUAUGAGCUGUUUCAAAAUGAAAUUCUGAUUCAAACUGAAAAUAUGUCAAAUGUGGUGUGUUUGUUUUGAUAGUCCAGAUGAAUAUAUUCGGCCUAAAAACCUACACGAAUAUAAAUAUUGACCUGAUGAUGAGACUGUUUUUAUAUGAGUGAUGUGCUUUACAUACUGAUUAGUGCUGCUAAGCUAAAUGUUUAUUUUAUUUGUAAUCAUCACACUGACCUCAAGGGUUGGUCUGAUCUAGUUGGCUUUAGGACGGGUGUUUAUGGGUUGGACAUACAGGGGGUCGGUUUCCCCAGACCCAGGUUAAGUUUAUUCCUGGACUGAAAAGCACUUUUAACUUUUUUUAAAAAUGUCUCAACCGAGAAUAUUUUUAUUUUUAGAAGUGGCUUAACUUUUUGUCUGAGUAAACAGACCCAAACUGUAGCACCCUGUUUAGUCCUGACUUCUAUUUUAGUCAAAUAUUCCCAUUGACAUCAAUGCAAACUGAUGACUAAGUGAAAAUUUGAAAAUGCGCAUCCUCCCUUUCAAAUAUUCCCAUUGACAUCAAUGCAAACUGAUGACGAUCCUCCCUUUUCAAAGAAGACAUGCCCUUGAGGAACAAAUGAUUGAAUAUGUACAUGUACCACAUUGUUGUUGAUGAAUUAGCUGAUUCUUCUAGGCAGUGAGUAAGACCUGUGGGAAACAAAAAUCCUUUAGAGAUCUCAACGGAAGUUAGUUUAAACUAGGCUGCAAUAAUUUAGUGACAAAAUGAAACGAGUCACCUCAUUUGUCGUGGUUUUAAAAUGUUUUUCUCUGACCUGUGUCAUAUAUAUGGAGCUGUACAGCUUUAACAUAAUAGUGGAGAACUCCCAGCCAAUAGAAUCAGCCUCUCAGGGUUGAAGGUCACUGAUAUGCAAAUGAGCUGUGUGUUCCUGUUUUGACUUGUGCCUGCGUGCACCCUGUUAUUUCACCAUGCUUCUGUAUGGAUAUACAUGUAAAAGUAGUAGCACGUCGUUCUCCGUUGUUGUCAAGUUAAUUCUACCGUGCCAGCAAGAGCACAACAACCUGUAUGUACAUAGGUGAUGACAAAACUGUUCCCUCUGAUUUUUUUGGAAAUGUGUAUAUAAUAUUGUUUCUAAAUGACUAUUUAACCCUCUACUAUGUUACAUCUCCUAGUUUCCAUUGUACAUAGGAAAAUAAAACUGUUAAAGAAAAGUUUGAGGUCCUUUAA